AUGCCGAUCAUUCCGCCUACCCUCGCCGUCCCGGGACCCUGUUACCCCCGCGGGAGCUGGCCCUGCCUCAGGCCCCCGUUCGUGGCCGGUGCUGCCUACUGCCUUGUGGCCGACGAGUCCCGCAUUUCUCUCCCUGCCCCUGUCUUUUCUGACAUCGCUAGAAGGAUUGAAGACCGACCCUUCUGCCCCACCCCACUCCCCCGCAUCCCGAGUGCAACCGGAUGGCAAAAAUCAAAGCUGGCUCCAAUUUACCCCAGUUGUCUUCCUUUGAACACUCAUAAGCCUGUUUUACCAUUGCGGACGAGAUAGGCAGGAAAAGGAGCGUUUGACUUGCAACUCACUAAAGAAGGGAAGCCAGGUAUGUAAGCAUGUCUUGUUAUUUUGCACAUGAAAUAUGGUCAUUAUGGAAUAUGAAUUUAAUUUUGGAAAUGAUAAAGAACAGUUAUUUUAUUUUUCCUACUACGAUACAAGAAAAACAUUUUUAAGUAGAUGAUUAAUUAGAUGAAAUGGGCUGAUAUGGCCCAUAAUACCUGCAUGGGCUUUUAUACCUUGUGAAAUCUCACCACAAUGGGACCUUUAUAAAAAGUAUGAAGUCAAGUAAUGCAAUCAUAUUUUAUAUUUAGAAUGGGAGUUGAUAUGAUUCAGUUUAAUGCUGUGAAUAAGUGAGCCCUCUGGCACUUGGCAUUAAAUUAUUUUAAAAUUACUCCUUCAAGUAAAGUUAGCAGAAAGACUGCACCAUGGUUGAAGCCCAACACUAAAGCUCAGGGGCAAAUUGGGUGCCACUGCUUGCCUUGCCAUCCGUUUUAGUGCAGACAAGGUGUUACCCUUGGCCGUCUUCUUAGUUCAAAGUCUAUUGGCUCCAAUAUUUCACUGUCCUUCUCCAACGAGCAGGUACAGCUCAGCCUCUGGAAGCCAAACCUGUGCUGCUCAAGAUAGGCCAAAUCUUACUUUUCCCAUUAAUUGAAGCCAUACGGAGUUUUGUUUGAUUGGAAUGAGCAGGAUCUAGCUCUCAUUCUGAUCCCUGAAAUAUUUCCAUUAGACAUUAAUAUCAAUGGAGAGAUUAUUUUUGCAUUUAUUUGAUGUGAAUGGAGUUAGGUCUGGGGGCCACAUUGAUCUUGCCCUUCAGCCUCAGUCAUCUAAGGGUUGCAUCCUACACACUUUGACUGGUGGAUCAGGCCAGCAGUAAUUGUGGUCACUACAUACUGAUACAUAGGAAACACAUUACUGGGCAUUUUGAACAAUCAAAAUAACUCCAUGCCCGUGUCUUUGCAUCAGUGGGAAGUGCUGAAUGUGUAUGAACUUAGCAGAAAGGGCAGUUGUGUGUUCUGGGGAA
rnacentral:lncRNA from 1 species